UACGUAGGGUGCAAGCGUUGUCCGGAAUUAUUGGGCGUAAAGAGCUCGUAGGCGGUUUGUCGCGUCUGGUGUGAAAACUCAAGGCUCAACCUUGAGCUUGCAUCGGGUACGGGCAGACUAGAGUGCGGUAGGGGUGACUGGAAUUCCUGGUGUAGCGGUGGAAUGCGCAGAUAUCAGGAAGAACACCCGUGGCUAAGGCGGCUCUCUAGUACGGUACUGACGCUGAGACGCGAAAGCGUGGGGAGCGAACAGG
rnacentral:rRNA from 1 species